rnacentral:rRNA from 1 species
GGAUGCAAUCAUACCAGCACUAACGCACCGGAUCCCAUCAGAACUCCGAAGUUAAGCGUGCUUGGGCGAGAGUAGUACUAGGAUGGGUGACCCCCUGGGAAGUCCUCGUGUUGCAUCCC